rnacentral:rRNA from 1 species
CGUAGGUGACCUACCUCGAAGUGGGGAAUAACAACCCGAAAGGGUUGCUAAUACCGCAUACGUUCCGCGUUCUGCGCGGAAGAAAGUGGAGCGCAAGCGACACGCUUCGGGACGGACCUGCGGCCCAUCAGGUAGUUGGUGAGGUAAUGGGCUCACCAAGCCAAUGACGGGUAGCUGAUCUGAGAGGAUGACCAGCCACACUGGCACUGAUACACGGGCCAG